GUAGGUGAACCUGCGGAAGGAUCAUUACCUAGAUGGUGUUAUAGCUUGUACUAUAGCCCUAAUCAUACCCCAUGUCUUUUGCGUACUUCUUGUUUCCUCGGCGGGUUACUCCGCCGGCUGGACAACUUAUAACCCUUUGUAUUUGCACUCAGCGUCUGAAAAUAUAAUAAUUACAACUUUCAACAACGGAUCUCUUGGUUCUGGCAUCGAUGAAGAACGCAGCAUCUGACUGACUCAGGUCUGUAUUAUC
rnacentral:misc_RNA from 1 species